UUUUUAAUUUAUUGGGGGAGGGUGGGUUAACACGUGGAGCAACCCCCUUUUUUAGAGGGGGUUACAUUUGUAACCAGUUGUUAUUCCCGCUAAGAAUUCCAGUUCCGGCGGGAUUCAGUGAUCAAAGGGCAAUUUCGUGAAAGAUGGGCUCGCCUCCGAUUAGAUAGUUGGUGAGGUUAACGGCUCACCAAGUCGACGAUCGGUUGCCGGAUGGAGAGGUUGAACGGCCACAUUGGGAUUGAGACACGGCCCAGACUCCUACGGGAGGCAGCAGUGGGGAAUAUUGCACAAUGGGCGAAAGCCUGAUGCAGCAACGCCGCGUGAGGGAAGACGGUUUUUGGAUUGUAAACCUCUGUUUUCGGUGACGAACAAAUGACGGUAACCGAGUAGGAAGCCACGGCUAACUACGUGCCAGCAGCCGCGGUAAUACGUAGGUGGCAAGCGUUAUCCGGAAUUACUGGGUGUAAAGGGAGCGCAGGCGGGAUAGCAAGUCAGCUGUGAAAAAUAUGGGCUCAACCCAUAAACUGCAGUUGAAACUGUUAUUCUUGAGUGGAGUAGAGGCAAGCGGAAUUCCGAGUGUAGCGGUGAAAUGCGUAGAUAUUCGGAGGAACACCAGUGGCGAAGGCGGCUUGCUGUGCUCUAACUGACGCUGAGGCUGGAAAGUGUGGGGAGCAACCAGGAUUAGAUCCCUUGUUAUUCCACACUGUAAACGAUGAUUGAAAGGGGUGGGGGGUCUGACCCCCUCCGUGCCGGAGCUAACG
rnacentral:rRNA from 1 species